AUGGAGGAGUCCGAUGCUCCCCGCAGGACUCACCUUCCUCCUCAAUUAGAAAUCAGACAGUCUGCCCAUGGUCCACGGACCUCGUCAGGAAAACGCGGGAUUCCAGCGUCUCACCAGAUCAGGGAAAACGGGGAGGAAGCCGACGCGUUUUCCAACAACAAGGACUCGGAAAACCGCGACUGGGGAACGGCAGCCUGUUCCGCGCCGGUAGAACUUGCUCGGAUUUGGAGCCGCCGGGGACCGGUGAAGACGCACGCGAGGCAGGACAGACUGCAGAAGAAAAUUCACAAGAAAGGGAAGAAUUAAGUCUGCAAACACACAGAGAAGAGUGUUGUGAAUCCUGGAAAACUGCAAAUAUUCAUGAGGUUUAAUCAACUUGAGGUAAAAUAAAUCGUCUUUUGAAAUAAAAGGGCAAACAUUACACAUCUGGGGCAAAAUAAUAAAGGGUGAGAAAGCUAAGCUCUUCCUUUUAUCCAUAGUUAGCAACUCCAUCAAAAUUACUGUUUUUCUUCCUGCUAAGCAAACUCAAGGCGCCUGAAAAUUACAUGGUUGGAAAACUAAGUCCAUCUAGGAAUUAGCUAACUUCACUGGUAGCUGUGAAAGGAGAAGCAGAAUUGAGACAGAUUCAUUUAACUGUCAGGCUAUUCAGCCAAUAUUCUUUGCCUUGUUAUUAAGGCUAACAUCCAUAAAUUUUGUCACUUUUGUAAAUGAAAAGAUAUUACUUAAUUGACAGGAAAUUUCUUUUUAAUUAGAAAAGCACCUUUGCUGAAUGGUUUUAAUCACAGGAGAAGCAGCUUCAAAUGGUUAGGUAAGAAACUAGAGGCAUAGUUAAAUCGCCUGGCAAUUUAAUUGAAUUGUUGGCUAAAAUUCUGGAAAAUAUGGCAUUUUCAAACCACAGGUGUGUUGUAUUAUUUUUUAAGAAAUACAAGAAUGUGAUACAUUUCUACAAUGUGUUAAAUCACCAUAAUUUUAGAUUUUUUUUGCUUCCCAUUGUCAGCAAAUUGAAUGAUUAGUUGCUGUAUAGUCUUUAGCCUAGCAAAUUCCAAGGGAAGAACAGAGCCCAUUUUGGCCUUUAUUCAGUAGGUAUUUAAUGUCCUCUUUAAGUGGCCCAUCUUUCUUGUUCUACAUAAUGAUGAUAAAACAAAUUCCUGUUCAUUUCAUCUUUAAUAUAUGUUUAUGACUGUUGGGAAAAUUAAUGACACUUCAGCUAGCAUUUAAUAUGUGUUUAUUUUCUGAGCAAAGCUAUCCAUAUUACGGAUGACAAUUCAUCCAUACGUGCAUGGAAUCAAAUAUCAGGCUUCUUGAAUGUCUUUUAAAUAAAAGACUACAAUUCACAGGGAUAAAAGGCGGCUUGAUUUUUAAGACUCUCUUUGGACCUUACCACACCCUUUCCUUUUCUUUAUCUGCAGUAAAAUAAGAAAAGGAUAGCAUUACCUAGAACUUCCCUGGUUGGCCCGUGGUUAAAAUUCUGCUCUUCCCCUGCAGGGGUGUAGGUUCAGUCCCUGGUCUGGGAACUAAUAUCUCCACAUGCCCCAGGGUACAAAAAAGAGAAA
ensembl:lncRNA